rnacentral:tRNA from 1 species
GGGGUUGUGGCUCAGUGGUAGAGCACUUGCCUUGCAUGCAAGCGAGGCACUGGGCUCAAAUCUCAGCACCACA